ensembl:lncRNA
GACCGUUUUGUAGAUUCCUACUCAAGGUGCGUAACAAAAUUACAGUGCUUAGCUACUGGGUUUGGUAGCUCGCACGACUGUAGGUCAACAAUGACUUUAGGUCGCACGACUGUAGGUCAACAAUGACAUUAGCUCGCUCGUCUGUAGGUUAACAAUUUGUCUAUGCAAGAGGAUUAUAUGAACAGGCAGGAUAAAUUCAAUUGAAGGGAUACAACAGUGACCAGACAGAGUUGAUCAAUAAUGGGACAGCGGAUUCCUUGUAGGCAGCAACGUGUUGGGAUCUCACAUGCAGGAAUCUGUCUUUAUCCUUGGGCUGUUGAGCUUCCAGAACAAAACAGAACCGCAGACACUUCUUUGCUUAUAAGUGUAGGAUUUGAAAGGGACUCCUCUGUCCUUCACAGUAUUGUCAACCACUGAACACACCGUUCUUCCUCUCCCAUCUCUCUCCCAACCACCGUGCAGGAACAUUUGUACGACCCGCUGUCCCGUACGGGUUACAUUGAGACCCGCCUGCGCAACUCCCGACGUACCCUUGAGGCCCACAAGAAGAAGUAUGUGCUGAAGAGACGUUGGCCAGAGCUGGGUGUGGCAGACCCCCCAGGGCCCAGAACGGGGCCCGGGCCCCCAGAGAGCCAGUCCAAUGAAGAGACCCAGCGGUGGGUGGACCUGAUGAAGAGAACCAGGCCGCUGACCAGGAAUCUGCCGGCCAUCCACGGUGCAAUGGACCUCACAUUCAACGCACGCAGGCGGUGGAUCAGCAACGCACGGCCCAGUAUGAGGGAUGUGCUAGCUGAGUACCCACGUUUCCUGGACGUGCCUUCCACGAUUGACCUGGAGUUUGAGAGGAUGUUCCCUGGUAAAGGCCACUCCUUCCUGGCCCAGUGGUCGUCGUUUGUGUUGCCCCGGGUUUACCAGAUCACCGAGCAGGAGAAACACCCGGACAUUUCUGCACUCCUCCAACAGGCUGCUGCACAGCAAGGAGACUCGUACACCCUGACCAUGCUGAAGGUCCUGCUCUACGUGCUGCCCCCGACAGCCUGCCGAUCCUCCUUACCCUGCCGGUCCAGCAUCAGACAAGCCAUUCGCUACCUGGUGGACAUUUUACCGAUUGACACCAAGGUGUCCUCCUUAUUCUGUGACCCGAGCUCCCUGGAGGGCCCCGAGUCUGUCUCCCACUCUCAUCCCUACAUAGUGAGCGUGGGUUCGCUGGACACCCCUGGCCGGCAGCUAUGCAUCCUGUCCCCAGCUGACAGGAUGGCCAUCCCUCUACCAGAGGAGGGCCUGAGCAAUGCCCUGGACAAGCUCUUCAAGCUGCUCCGCGUGUUUGAACUGGGCUACCCGGAGCAGCUGACCUGCCUGUACAGCUUCCUGGAGCACCUGUACGGGCUAGAGGUGACCCCGCGUGGUAACCACGACGACCCCAGUGGCAAAAGGUCGAAAGUGCUGGAGCUGUUGUCACGGCUGCACAUGUCCUCCUGACACACUGCACGGGCCCACCAGGUGUGAAGUUGACUCCCCACAAUCUCACUUGGGUGUAUUCAUUCCGCCCAUUGUGUUGUAAAUUGUUGUUUGUUGCUAAAUAUUUUGCAGCUGCGAUCAUUUACUCCAAACUCCAAGCUUACAUUUUUACUUUUUUUUAAAACAAUAAGCCUCUGGAAUUAGUUGAGCAGAACCCUAGAGUCAUCACUCCACUUCAGAGCAUGACAAAAUCCAUGAUAUAUAAAUGUGCAAGUUGUGCCUAAAACUAAGCAGAUUAUUAAGAGCAAGGCAUGUUUCCUCCGAAACACACAAUUAUGCACUACUUCCUGUCCAAACUGCUGGCUGGAGGGAAUGCUUUCUCCGGCCAACCACUUCUAUUAAGCUCACAGGUGCCCAAGAUGCUACAAGGACUUGUAAGAUUAGAAACCCAGAAACAUCCAAUCUCAGUAGUUUUAAAAUUAAGAGGGAGUGCUGGGCCAGUUUUAACAGCACACACUUGAGUAGGCAUAACCUAAUGGAAAAAUGCAAAUACACGCUUGCUAUUUCACUAGCUACUGAUUCACUGAUAUAUCAAAAUCCUGUUAUCUAUCUCACUAGCUACUGAUUCACUGAUAUAUCAAAAUCCGGUUAUCCGAGAUCCGGAACAGACUGGGUCGGAUACAACAUUGUGUAGUCUGCUGUCGGAUUACCAUUAAGAUGAGGAGAUUUGCUUUCGUUGCAAGCUGACAUUAAUGCUGCUAGAAUGGUGUGGAGGAAUGCGCGUGCGCUUCGUUUCAAUUGUGCUGGGUUGUAUCUUGACCUGCUUCCUGCUGCCCGGGUGUUAUAUAAACCUAGAAUCUGCUCCGGUGUCUUACAUCUCUAGCUUUUACGUAAUCUAGAAGAGCAUUUGGAGUAAACUGGUUUCUUUUGUGUAACAUUUUGCGACAAACAAAAUAUUUUGCAACAGUAAAGGUUGAAUAAACACCCCAAACCCCAGAUUCUUUAGCUGGAUUUUAGUAAUAUAACCAAAACAUGUCAGACAGAACUGAAUAGUGAUGGAACAAAAAGUGGUCUUUGUCUAUUAUUCACUGAAUUUUUACAUGCGUAAGGCAAAUACUUUCAUAAACAAUUCUAUGAAAUCUUGUUGACAAGGAAUUUUCCUUAUUUUGUACUUUUAGAUAACUUUCACAAUUGUUUAAGUAUUUAACUUGCUAAUGAUAUGUGAUGUCUUAUGUCUUGUGGUAUUUUUUAAAUAAAAGAAAUGUUUUCACUGUCCAAAUGUAAAUUAUAAAUAAUACUUGGC